AACGAAAGAGAAUCGCGAAAAGUCACCUUUUACAACUCUUUUAACGCUUUUAUCUGUUCAGCCCGUGUAAUGAAAAUUGAAACGAUACGUUUCGUAAAUUCGUAGAUCGGUUGUUGUACCAUGCGCGCUGAACGAUGCCGAGACAUUCAAUCUCAAGAUUUAUCGCAUACAAUUAUAAGCCGAAAGUGAUGAAAAAUUACGAUUUUCAUCAGAUUUUAACGAAAUUAACACGAUAAUAUUUCCAACGCGUAUAAGAUGUAACCGACGUAAAUUUUCAAAAUCCAUUCUUUAAGGUUUCCUUUAUAAAUACAUAAACGUACAUUAAAAAACAGUUGUAGAAGCCAACUUUCGCCAUUUCUCUUUCUUUUCGGAAUUACGACCAGCUGCAAUUUUUUUUACACCUAGUCUAACCAACUAAUUAAUAGGUCUCCCAACUUGUCGCAGAAAUCUAUUUUAGACCGUGUCCGAAUGUUGACGAUGCUAUUCCAAAUUAAUUCAGAUUGAUUUUAAUAUAUCGAAGCUCGGAUAAUUCUUAUUAUUUUAUCUCAACGUCUUACUACCGGGACAUACCGCAACCACUGAUCACGAUGAAUCGUUAAACUGGUAAAACGCAAGUUGCGUGGCAUCGCGUUGUUUCUUUUCCUCUUUAUACCGAUAGAUAGAUCCGUAAUGAACAAAAACGAUUAAACGUGUCAAAUUACUCGGCACUUUUAAAAUGUUUUGCUCGUGGCAGGUAAACGCUUCGCAUUUAGAUAUUAAUUACCUUCCAUUAUCCAUCGGACGAGGAUAGUGUCGAGCAAUAUGCAAUUCGAAAUGCAUAACAUGCACAGUACAUGCACGCAACGUUGAACCAGUCGUACGGUAAGCGUACGUAAUUUUUACGGAAAUUUUAUGGAAUCGAAGGUAAAUUCAAAUUUGUCGCCGCACGUACGAUACGGAUAGCGUGGGGGGAGUAGAUGGACUAACGAUAGCAGGCAGCCCGGAAAAAUACAGCGAGGAGACGGUAACGGAAACUGAGAAAAGACUAGGGAAGAAUGGGAAAGACGAACAAGAGCAAAGAUAGGAUUAGGUAAGAUAGUAAGAAAGUAGCGAUAGUUAGGGAGUAGCAUGGGUUAAGCGAGUAAGCGAUUAAUCGACUUCGCGAAGCGAAGGAGUAGAUGACUGGAUAGCAAGGUAGGUAUUAUAAUUGUAAAGUAAAUCUCUUAAAUCAAAUAAAAUAGCAAUUAUCGGCCACGAUAACGUACGAUACAGAUUCCAACUAUUCGAGAUUCCGUGUAUCUCCUCGGCGUAUACCGUUCUACUAUAGGUAUAGAACCCUAGGAAUUACAUAACGAGCGAGCGUCGCGUGAAACGCGGGUAAUCGACACGGGGGAGAGAGAAAAAAAAAAAAAAAAAAACAGAAAAGGGGAAACGAAGACUCGCAGGCAUAAUUGAAGAUGGAUUCGCGCGAGGAAACGGCUCGAAGCGUAGAUAUCGCGUAUGCACGUGCCAAGUCGUUGGCGACCAGUCUUCCUUCCGUCGCGUCGCAUCGCAUCGUAUCGUAUCGCAUCGCAUCGCAUCGCAUCGCAUCGCAUCGCAUCGCAUCGCAUCGCAUCGCAUCGCAUCGCAUCGCAUCGCACCGUAGAAGAGAACGCCGAGGUAUUAUGCAAGAUAUCGGGAUCCAACCUUGGCAAUGACCACUAACUAUGACGAUUGAGUUGGCACCGGCCUGUGUCUGUCCGUAUCAUUAGCUUGCCGCUAGGAUAAUCGCAGAGUCGGUGGUUCGUGACGACCGAUUCACCACCGGUAGCGUCUUUUUACUUACUAGCACUUUACUCGCGGAAAAAACAAACACCUGCGGCUGGCGACCGGAAAUAAAAUUUCCCACUUUACCGACGCGAUGCUGAUUUCAUUAAUUUGCAUGACUAGUUAUUUAAAAAGCAGGUACAAGUACGAUCGAGGGGAAUAAUAUCGGUACCUAUAACAAGAACGUUACCGAUAAACGGACCAUCUCUGUGAUAAAAACAAUCCUUUGCUCCUGUUUAUACAUGCUGUUUAAGUAGGUUUUAGCGUUUAAGUAGGUAGUAGAAUCAGAUUUUUCUUAUAUUCGCUGUGCGGUGCCAAUAUAAAGAUGUUUGUUCGCGUACGUUCGUAAGGGAUGAAUACAAGUUUGGUUUUAAUUUGGAUGAAAAUAGAGAAUAGAAAUAAGAAAAAGCCUGAUUAUAGAUAUACAUAGGUGCGUACGCUUACUCGAAUUCACUUUGAAAACUAGUUACGCAAACAGCGAUGUAAUUUCUCGAAUAAACGAUAAACUGAAAAAUUCACGUGUUAAUCGAUGCUCGAUUUCUUAGAGUCCAACUCUGAAAUGAAAGAAAUGAAAGAAAGGAAUCACCUAUCGAAAGAGUAGCAAGAGAAAUGUGCUUGCUUGCUUGCUUGCUGUAAUUUCUAAUCGUAAGUAAUGUAAAAUUUCUAUCGUACGUUAGCGAGAGCGGAUUAAAGUGUCUUAAAGAACGCUUCGUAUCCUCGUAACCUAUCGAUGCGACAGAAUCUGGAAUUACUGUAUUUGGAAUUACUCGCUUGUUUCAAAUUCACGUGUUAAUCGCUAAACACCUGACAUUCUCCGAAUGGAGUUUUAAUCUAUCGUAUGACGAUAAUCGUACGUUGUCUAAGCCCCGUCUUACCGUUUCAUUCCAAGCAAGUAGAGCGCCAAGCUGUCCGAGUGUACAAAUCUCGCGACAUUUUGUCAAAUGCAAUUUUUCAUUAAACCUAAUUCUUCCACCGAGUUUAAUCUCGUUUAAUCUGAUAAGCGAAUAAACUUCAAUAAGUUUAUUUAAAAAAAGAUGGGAAUUUUGAUUUCGAAUUUCGCCACUGUUCGCCACACUACUACGCAUGUGUGCACAUGCAUAUACAUUCGUAGUUGGACAAUGAGAAAAGUUUGUGGCGACAUCUAUCCUUUUCGCGCGGAAAGCAAACAAAAGCGAUGGGUUGCCGAUAGCAGAUAUACGUAAUAAGAUCGGAGACGAAUAUACCAGGAACGGGGUUCUGUGCCUCGUCCGUGAUAAGAUGGAGCUCGCAUAAUAAAUCAAACGAAUCGCGUAACUGUUAUUGCGCAACACAGAGAUUUAGCGUCAACGACAGAGUAGCGAUGGUUCGUGACGUCUACGUUCGUUCGAUACAUCGAAUAGAUAAUCGAUACAAACAAAUAAAUAGAUAAAUGUCGGAAAUGACACAAAAAUGAGAAAGACAGUGUUAAAUAAGCGACAGAGAAAUUCUGUAUAUCGUACACUAUUUAUAUUAUCACUGUUAAAUUACAAAAUCCUAUACGCUCUACAAAACUUAAACGUGCUUAAAACAACCAUUUGACUAAAUCGAUUACAAGUUGAUCGUCUUUCGUUAUUUUUAUUGAAUUUUCUCUGUAAGAUCGAUUUUCCUUCUAGUUUAUAAUAAUUUUACGUUACUUACGAUGUA